GUUAUCUAAAUUAGGCGCACAGUUAGGCUACUGAUAUUUUAGAGCCAUGGUCGUGGCCAUAGAUUCUAACUUGCACAAUCCUCAGUCAGAUAAACGAUCAA